rnacentral:rRNA from 1 species
CGUGUAGGCGGUUUCUUAAGUCUGAUGUGAAAGCCCCGGGCUCAACCCGGGAAGUGCAUUGGAUACUGGGAGACUUGAAUACGGGAGAGGGUAGUGGAAUUCCUAGUGUAGGAGUGAAAUCCGUAGAUAUUAGGAGGAACACCGGUGGCGAAGGCGGCUACCUGGACCGAUAUUGACGCUGAGACGCGAAAGCGUGGGGAGCAAACAGGAUUAGAUACCCUGGUAGUCCACGCCGUAAACGAUGAGAACUAGGUGUUGCGGGUAUUGACCCCUGCAGUGCCGCAGCUAACGCAUUAAGUUCUCCGCCUGGGAAGUACGGUCGCAAGGCUAAA